rnacentral:rRNA from 1 species
GACGAACGCUGGCGGCGUGCCUAACACAUGCAAGUCGAGCGGAGUCGAUCGACGGAAGCCUUCGGGCGGAAGAUGGUUGACUUAGCGGCGGACGGGUGAGUAACGCGUGAGAAACCUGCCUUUCACUAGGGGAUAGCCUCGGGAAACCGGGAUUAAUACCCUAUGACACUUAAGGGUCGCAUGGCCUUUAAGUUAAAGCGCUUUAGCGGUGGAAGAUGGUCUCGCGUCCCAUUAGCUAGUUGGUGAGGUAAAGGCUCACCAAGGCGACGAUGGGUAGCCGGCCUGAGAGGGUGACCGGCCACACUGGAACUGAGACACGGUCCAGACUCCUACGGGAGGCAGCAGUGGGGAAUAUUGCACAAUGGAGGAAACUCUGAUGCAGCGACGCCGCGUGAGUGAUGAAGGCCUUCGGGUCGUAAAGCUCUGUCCUAGGGGACGAUAAUGACGGUACCCUAGGAGGAAGCCCCGGCUAACUACGUG